GACAAUACACGGCUCUUCCAUGAC
rnacentral:siRNA from 1 species